CCUACGGGAGGCAGCAGUGAGGAAUAUUGGUCAAUGGGCGAGAGGCUGAACCAGCCAAGCCGCGUGAGGGACGACGGUCCCAUGGGUUGUAAACCUCUUUUGUCGGAGAACAAAAUCAGGGACGUGACCCGGACUGCGUGUAUCCGAAGAAAAAGCAUCGGCUAACUCCGUGCCAGCAGCCGCGGUAAUACGGAGGAUGCGAGCGUUAUCCGGAUUUAGUGGGUUUAAAGGGUGCGUAGGCGGUCCGUUAAGUCAGCGGUAAAAUUGCGGGGCUCAACCCCGUCGAGCCGUUGAAACUGGCUGACUUGAGUUGGCGAGAGGUACGCGGAAUGCGCGGUGUAGCGGUGAAAUGCUUAGAUAUCGCGCAGAACUCCGAUUGCGAAGGCAGCGUACCGGCGCCAGACUGACGCUGAGGCACGAAAGCGUGGGGAUCGAACAGGAUUAGAUACCCGGGUAGUC
rnacentral:rRNA from 1 species